GGGAAUUUUCCGCAAUGGGGGAAACCCUGACGGAGCAACGCCGUGUGAGUGAUGAAGGCCUUCGGGUCGUAAAGCUCUUUUCGGGAAGAAGAACGCCCGCAAGGGUCUGACGGUACUCCCGGAAUAAGCCCCGGCUAACUACGUGCCAGCAGCCGCGGUAAUACGUAGGGGGCAAGCGUUAUCCGGAAUUAUUGGGCGUAAAGGGUGUGUAGGCGGCUCUAUAAGUCCAUCGUAAAAGCCUCUGGCUCAACCAGAGAACCGCGGUGGAUACUGUAGGGCUUGAGUGGAUGAGAGGAACGUGGAAUUCCCGGUGUAGCGGUAAAAUGCAUUGAUAUCGGGAGGAACACCAGAAGCGAAGGCGACGUUCUGGCAUCCUACUGACGCUAAGACACGAAAGCUAGGGUAGCGAAAGGGAUUAGAUACCCCUGUAGUC
rnacentral:rRNA from 1 species